GGGGGAAGAAAUUAAAUACAAUGGGAAUAAGGAGAAGGAUUACUUCACUGGUAGUCAAAUGGUGAUGUUCUUCAUGGGAUGGAGAGCACCGGGGAUCCACGCACCCUGACAGGGCUGGAGUGGUGCAGGAGAGCACGUGGACCUGAGGGACAAGAGGAGGAAGGUGUGAGGGAGUUUCCUUGUUUUCUGCAUAAGGCCCAUCUCUACUCCAGCUGGCAAAACAUCCUGUCUUCAAGAUGGUCCAGCUCCUCGGAGAUAACAGUCUUCCACCCUGGUCAACCCAAGCAGAUCCUAACUCAUGGGAUGUCACAAGGAACUCCACAGAAUUGAACUAGAAAUCAGCAACAACAAGAUAACCAGAAAAUCCCAGACAUUUGGAAACUAACAUACUUAUUUUAAAAAUCCGUGAGUCAAUGAAUUAGUCUCAAGACAAAUCAUAAAAAUAUUUUAACUCAAUGAAAAUGCAAAUACUAAUUAUCAAAAUUUAAACAUAGCAAAACAGGAUGAUUUAUAGCAUUGAAUGAUGUAUUAGAAGAGAAAAAAGAUACAAAAUUGGUACUCUAAGUUUUCACCCAGAGAAAAGAGCAAAUUAAGUCUAAAGCAAUCAGAGGGAAAGAGAUGGAAGAAUUAUGUGUGCUCUAAUUCACACAAGAUGACCAAGAGUACAGUGAUUUUCUUAAAUAAAAUUAUGUUCCAAGGAUGCCUUGCAGGUGCUCUUGAGCCGGUCUAUCAACUAUGUCCACCUCUCAGUGUCUUUCUCAUCGCCAACCCCACACAGCAGUGAGCUCAUCCCAGGAGCCCCACACCUUUCCUCACACCAUCCUAAGAAUACUCAUGGCCUGGUGACCGAGCUUCUGGUCUCCACUUCUCACCUCUGCCCACAAGUGCCAGCUCUGAAGCCUCCUCUUUCCUCUGCUUGCCAGUGCCCCUCCUGCCUCACAUGCACAUCUGUUCACCUGUGCCUGCCCUUCCAGCUCAGCAAAGAUGUCCCCGUGGAUUUAAAAA